rnacentral:rRNA from 1 species
UACUCGAGUGGCGAACGGGUGAGUAACACGUGGGUGAUCUGCCCUGCACUUCGGGAUAAGCCUGGGAAACUGGGUCUAAUACCGGAUAGGAACCGUCUUUAGUGUGGUGGUUGGAAAGUUUUUUCGGUGCAAGAUGAGCUCGCGGCCUAUCAGCUUGUUGGUGGGGUAAUGGCCUACCAAGGCGUCGACGGGUAGCCGGCCUGAGAGGGUGUACGGCCACAUUGGGACUGAGAUACGGCCCAG